AAGUCGUAACAAGGUUUCCGUAGGUGAACCUGCGGAAGGAUCAUUACCGAUUUUAGCGGACCUGAUCCUUGAUCAUGGUCUCGCGAAAACUUGUAUUUAAAACCCCACUCUUAUAAAUUGAAUCAUUUUAUUAUGUAUAUAAUAAAUAAAGAUCACUUUCAACAACGGAUCUCUUGGCUCUC
rnacentral:misc_RNA from 1 species